UUCAUUUUUGGGGGGUAAGUGCAGGCAAAUAUAUUGGUGUAAGUCACCUUGUCCUAGAAAGAGUUACAGAGUUAUCAAAAAGUCACACCAGGAUAAGCCUACUGUCGUGGAAUUAUUGUAAUCAAAUGGAGAGAUUUUUACAUUUCUUCAAAACUUUAUUAUUUAAUUACUGAAGUAAUGGAGCUUGUCAACAGGUAUGAACUGACAUGUUGUCCAUCCAGUCAUAGAAUUAGGAUCAAAGAACGAACCCAUGAUUUGUAUUGGGAUUGUGCCACAGAGCAUUAUGGGGGUUCUAUGUGUUGAGAAGCUUGGGGACAUUGUUGGAUAGAGAUUAAGAGUGAAAAGUGAUAUUUGGGCAUUUUUUGGAAAUUAUUCAAUUAAAGUUAGUUUUUUCAAAUUACAGGAGACAGGUGAAAUAUUAUCAAUUGUUUUCUUAACUUUAUUUUUGCGUCCAGUUUGUGCAAUUUAUUUACAUUUGCCUUGCAAUUUCAGUGAUUUAGCUAACCUUAGCUAUAGCUAGCUACCAGAGCGAGUGUGCCGUUUUCUGUGCCAUAAUGGUAACGUUAGAAUGGCCAACGCUGCCGAAAAUGUUGUGGACUUUUUGUUGACCCCUUCCAUUCUCUGGGGUACACGGAAAAGCUGCGAAUUAAAAACGAGGGUCGACCUCUGCCUGAGAUCAGUUUCAUGAAGAAUGGUGAAAAUGUGAGGGUGUUCAAUGGCAUCUGGUAUCAAAAGUAUAGCUGGUAAACAGGGAGCCUUUCAUCAAGCCGCCUCUAUUGCUGGCCUUGCAAGAUUUUGAGAUGGAAAGUUCCACCGACAAGGGGAACUACAAGGAGCUUGCAGAGCUAAGUCCCCUCCUGUUCCCUGAUGAAGAGGAGAUGACUACUCCACUCCUCUACCUUUGUCAACAUUCUCCUGACAUGAACUGAAGCCACGUCUCGUGCCCACUCAUCCACUGGCACAUUGAAUGUUUCCUCGCCAAGGAGUACCCCUAUACAUUUUAUCUCAUUCCUGUCAAUCAUUAGAGUCAACUCAUUAGAGUCAAUCACGUACACAAUUCACAUUAUUAGACAUCUGUGAUUUUACUCAUUGCUUGGACUAACUAAUUUUUAGCCCUUUUGUCUAUCUAUGUAGUGUGUUGUGUUAUUGUUUUUUGUCUUCCCAGUCAAAUCCUGUCCUGCACUGGUCAAGCCUCUGAACACCUCAACUCAUGCCUCAUACCCUCAUUCAAUCACUUCUGUGAUCCCGCUCAGCCCUCUCAUUCUCUAUAAUAUUGUACUAUAAAUGUCUUUAUUAAAUGCUUUAGGUUAAAGUAAUUCGUCUUUCCGAUUUUUGAAACACACUUUGUCGUCUCCGUGCGUUACGUGCCUAUACCGUGGGUCUCCCAUCCUCCUCAAAAUGUUUGUCACCAGCCUCCAUAGACCCUAAAGUCAACGCAGGAAGGGCAAACGCUAUUGGAUGCGUGAGCACACGCUCCCCACAUGGGUGCGCCAGCAAAGCCCACUGUCAAUGUGGACCCCCAGAUCCAGACCCAACCCCCAUACCAGAACACCGGAAGAGGCGUGGAGGAGGGAUCAAAGAUCUAACCUUCAUCUGGAGUGAGCAGACCAUUGGGAAGUACCACCAUUGGAUCUAGGGCUCGCUUGUGUGUCUGCUUGCUUCUCAGGAUGUCCUCCUCCCCUCUACAGACCCAGAUCCUGACCCAGUUCCCGGUUCCUGCCCACCCCCCCAGUUUUCAACCUCAGCACGACUUCCAGUCCCGGCCCCAACACCAGCACCAACCCAGUUUUCUCCCGGUCCCAGCAACAAAACACGCAAAAACUCUAGACACAGCACCGACUAACCUCAACUGCCACCUCCAUCCAGCAACUGCCAGCCCAGAUCCCACCCCUUCCCCAACACAAAGAAGCAGACACAUUGUGGACUGACUGACCAACGGACUGAUUCUCUCUGUUUUUUAAAUGAAUGAUUAUUGAAUUUUAACUUGUGACAUUUUACCUGUAAAGAAAUUAAUUUAUAAAAAAUGUAAUACAAAAAUUACCCAGUCCUACCUA